rnacentral:rRNA from 1 species
CUUGAUGGCAAUAGCGCUGUGGUCCCACCUGAAUCCAUUUCGAACUCAGUAGUGAAACGCAGUUGCGGCGAUGGUAGUGUGGCAGUCGCCAUGCGAGAGUAGCUCACCGUCAAGC